rnacentral:rRNA from 1 species
GAUAUGGCUCAGGAUGAACGCUGGCGGCGUGCCUAAUACAUGCAAGUCGAACGAGGUAGCAAUACCGAGUGGCGAACGGGUGAGUAACACGUAGGUAACCUGCCUUACAGUUUGGGAUACCCUGGCGAAAGCUAGGCUAAUACCGAAUAAUUGGAUUGGAGGCAUCUCCGAUCUCUAAAAGGGGCCCUUAAAGCCUCGCUGAAUGAUGGACCUGCGGCGCAUUAGCUAGUUGGUGAGAUAAUAGCCCACCAAGGCGAGGAUGCGUAGCCGACCUGAGAGGGUGAACGGCCACACUGGAACUGAGACACGGUCCAGACUCCUACGGGAGGCAGCAGUAGGGAGUUUUCGGCAAUGGGGCAACCCUGACCGAGCAACGCCGCGUGAAUGAUGAAGGUCUUCGGAUUGUAAAGUUCUGUUAUAAGGGAAAAAUGAUAGGGUGAGGAAAUGCUCUCUAUUUGAUGGUACCUUAUUAGAAAGCCACGGCUAACUACGUGCCAGCCGCCGC